rnacentral:misc_RNA from 1 species
UGACAUUGUGGACUUCAUUACAGAAACCUGGCCAGAUGUUCCAGAGUCCGCAAUAUUCUUCAUAGAAGACGGAAAAAAGGUUCCAGCUGCAUAAACUACGGAGAUGACAUCCCUGUUCCCAGCAGAGUGUUUCCCAAGCAAAUGCUCGUAGCACUGUGUUCGUUGAAAUUUGAGGUGAGAAUAUGUGUUGGCUCUAUAGAUGUGGCUACUAUGGUUCCACCCUCUAUAUAGCAAAUAAUAUAAAAAAGCAAAGAAACACGUCGUAUCACAUAAUGUCGUCCAUUCUUGGUGAAGGUUCAUGUAAUCAAUCGAUCAGACUUGCUUGAGAUAGAGGCGUAGUUGUGUUUUUGGCAUUUUGAGCACAUCCAAUCACCAAUGGCUUUUGAUGUGAAGUCAAUUUUGUUGAACCAAAAAAAUUACAUUUGUAACCCCACCUAGUUUAUGUUUCACAUGCCUAAUUAAAAUUUUAUUAACAAAAA